AACUCGGGUGGUAGAAGCUGCUGGGCCCUGAGGAAGACGUGUUGGGGGUGUCUGGGGAGCCGGCAAGAACCCGGGGCUGCGAAGGGGUGGCGGGUGGGGCGCGACACCUGAACUUGGGGAGCCCGGGCAGCGCCGUGGCCCGUGGGGAGGCCUUUUCCACGUCCGGGCUGCUUGUGCUGAAGUCAGCUCCUGAGCUGGUGGGGAAGCUGCCAGGGAUGGGGUCGAAAGUGAUUCUGGUGGCUGCCUUCUUUAUUAGACCCUGCUCAGGGGGUGAGGGGUGGUGCUCUGUGGGCCUGGGCCUGCCUCCACCCGGCUUCCAGACUCCUCCGCACCCUGCGCACCCCUCAUCCGCCUACCCUCUCUCCCUCUUGGAGGCGGGUUUCAGUGGCUGAAAAUGUACUGAGAGAAACUGCCCUUGGUUGUGCAAACCACUAAUUUAAAAAAGCUGGUUGUGCAAGAUGAGCCUCUCCCUGGCAUCACGAUCUGUAACUUUUUUUUUUUUUUUUAGAUUUUAUUUAUUUAUUUGAGAGAGCAAGAAUGAGAGAGAGAGAGAGUACAUGACGGGGAGAGGGUUAGAGGGAGAAGCAGGCUCCUCGCUGCUCAGGGAGCCCGAUGCGGGACUCGAUCCAGGGACUCCAGGAUCAUGACCUGAGCCGAAGGCAGUCGCUUAACCAACUGAGCCACCCAGGCGCCCACGAUCUGUAACUUUUAUUUACACUGUGGCCUGGCUUUAUUUAGUUCAUGUCCAGUAACUGGGGAAAGGAUCUUCUAGAGACCCGUUUCCUGGAGAAGGGGAAGCCUGUUUGCUGACCCCCGCCUCCCGCACCCGAGCUAGGAGGGACCGACCGUAGAUGAUUUAAAAUUCUGACAGGGCGAGUAGAUUGGCCAAACACAGCUAAUGUUUUGAACGCAUUGGAUAUUCCUUCUAACUGUCUUGCAUUUUGGGAUCCCUGGAAAGGACUCAGGAAGGAGAAAUUAUGAAGAUCAAAAAAGGCAUCCCCUUCCCCGCACCAAAUAGAUGAACAAAGAGCUGGAUUUUAUUUAUCGGGGCGCUGGGUGGCUUAGUCGUUAAGCGUCUGCCUUUGGCUCAGGUCAUGAUCCCAGGGUUCUGGGAUCGAGCCCCGCAUCAGGCUCCCUGCUCCGUGGGAGGGUUGCUUCUCCCUCUCCCACUCCCCCUGCUUGUGUUCCCUCUCUCGCUGUGUCUCUCUGUGUCAAAUAAAUAAAUAAAAUCUUUUGAGAGAGAGAGAGAGAGAGACAGCAUGAACAGGAGGGAGGAGGCAGAGGGAGAGGGAGCAGCAGACCCCCGCUGAGCAGGGAGCCCGAAGUGGGGCUGGAUCCCAGGACCCUGCGAUCAUGACCUGAGCUGAAGGCAGGCCUUCACAGACUGAGCCACCCAGGCACCCCUAUUUAAUAGCAUAUUAAGGUAGUAAUUUACUAAUAGUAGGGGCCUCAAUUUUGGGUUCUGGGAACAGGGCUUAUAGAACAGGUGGGAGGAGGAAGAGAGUUUCUGAUUUGUUUUUUGGGCUCUGGUUUCAAUUUUGAAUUAGGCAGAGGUUUGCCUUGCUCUCAUCUCAGAUUCUCUAUCCUCCUCCUCAGGUCUCCGGGUAUCCUAGAGCUUUCCCUUCCCUUGGGGCCUCUCCGGGCAUGCUCCAUUCUCCCAAAUGUCACAUGUUCCAGAACCAUCUUAGGCCCAUGUCCCCUUUCUCCAUGCAGGCAAUGUCAGCUAGAUUUUAGGAGGACAGCAGGGGUACAAAUUUAUCGUAUGUCGUGAAUGACUCUUUCUGGAGAGUUUGGGUUUUUAAAGGAAGGUGUUAACUAAUACAACAGAUCUUCAGUAGUGGAUUCAGGCACGGCCCCUGUCCAAGACCCUUGGGGCCAGGUGUAUUUUGGAAUUCAGGGUUCCCCAGAUUUCAGAAAGGAGCACCCCACAAUCAAACAAAAAUACUUCUGCAGGAAAACCUAAAUUCCCUAAGAGGGAUCUGCAAAGCCUAUAAAUGUCCUCACGUUGGUUUAGGUUUAAGUUUUGUACCAAAUGAAUUUGUGCCAAACUUAUUUUAAAAACUUUGGGUUUUUAGAACUUUUUGGAUUUUGGAAUUAUGGAGAAGAGACUGAAGGCUUGUAUUUCCCAGUGUCACAAAGUAAAGGGAAUCCUGCAGUGUGGGCCAGGUAUUUUUGGCUAGAGAGGCCACUCAUACUAAGCAGUCCACUUUGGUGUGAAGUUUGCUUCUGGGUCAGCACAUGGAACUGCCCUGUGUUUUCCUUUCCCCAAGUUCUGCAAAUAUAGAAACUCCAUUUAAAAGUUGUUUUUUUUUUUUUUUCUGAUUACAAAAUUACUGUAUGCUAAUUCUUUUUUUUUUUUUUUUUAUU